rnacentral:rRNA from 3 species
CAUAUUAAUCAGCGGA